AGUGGGUUAUCAGAACUUAUUAACAUUAGUGUCACUAAAGUUGGUAUACCACCCCCCCACUGCU
rnacentral:sRNA from 1 species